rnacentral:rRNA from 1 species
UACGGGGGGAGCAAGCGUUGUUCGGAUUUACUGGGCGUAAAGGGCGCGUAGGCGGUCGUGACAAGUCACCUGUGAAAUCCCUGGGCUUAACCUGGGAACUGCAGUCGAUACUGGUGGACUAGAGUACGGUAGAGGGUGGCGGAACUCCGGGUGUAGCGGUGAAAUGCGUAGAUAUCCGGAAGAACACCGAUGGCGAAGGCAACCACCUGGGCCUGUACUGACGCUGAGGUACGAAAGCGUGGGGAGCAAACAGG